AUUGAACGCUGGCGGCAUGCCUUACACAUGCAAGUCGAACGGCAGCACGGACUUCGGUCUGGUGGCGAGUGGCGAACGGGUGAGUAAUACAUCGGAACGUGCCCAGUAGUGGGGGAUAACUAUUCGAAAGAGUAGCUAAUACCGCAUACGACCUACGAGUGAAAGUGGGGGAUCGCAAGACCUCAUGCUAUUGGAGCGGCCGAUGUCAGAUUAGCUAGUUGGUGAGGUAAAAGCUCGCCAAGGCGACGAUCUGUAGCUGGUCUGAGAGGACGACCAGCCACACUGGGACUGAGACACGGCCCAGACUCCUACGGGAGGCAGCAGUGGGGAAUUUUGGACAAUGGGCGCAAGCCUGAUCCAGCAAUGCCGCGUGUGAAGAAGGCCUUCGGGUUGUAAAGGACUUUUGUCAGGGAGGAAAUCCCUAGUGCUAAUAACACUGGGGGACGACAGUACCUGAAGAAUAAGCACCGGCUAACUACGUGCCAGCCGCCGCUGUAA
rnacentral:rRNA from 1 species